rnacentral:rRNA from 1 species
UAGGGAAUCUUCCACAAUGGACGCAAGUCUGAUGGAGCAACGCCGCGUGAGUGAAGAAGGUUUUCGGAUCGUAAAGCUCUGUUGUUGGUGAAGAAGGAUAGAGGUAGUAACUGGCCUUUAUUUUACGGUAAUCAACCAGAAAGUCACGGCUAACUACGUGCCACCAGCCGCGGUAAUACGUAGGUGGCAAGCGUUGUCCGGAUUGAUUGGGCGUAAAGCGAGCGCAGGCGGAAGAAUAAGUCUGAUGUGAAAGCCCUCGGCUUAACCGAGGAACUGCAUCGGAGACUGUUUUUCUUGAGUGCAGAAGAGGAGAGUGGAAUUCCAUGUGUAGCGGUGGAAUGCGUAGAUAUAUGGAAGAACACCAGUGGCGAAGGCGACUCUCUGGUCUGCAACUGACGCUGAGGCUCGAAAGCAUGGGUAGCGAACAGG